CUAAGUUUGAUGGCGGCCGGCGCACGGGUGAGUAACACGUAUCCAACCUGCCGAUGACUCGGGGAUAGCCUUUCGAAAGAAAGAUUAAUACCCGAUGGCAUAGUUCUUCCGCAUGGUGGAACUAUUAAAGAAUUUCGGUCAUCGAUGGGGAUGCGUUCCAUUAGGUUGUUGGCGGGGUAACGGCCCACCAAGCCUUCGAUGGAUAGGGGUUCUGAGAGGAAGGUCCCCCACAUUGGAACUGAGACACGGUCCAAACUCCUACGGGAGGCAGCAUG
rnacentral:rRNA from 1 species